rnacentral:rRNA from 1 species
UACGGAGGGGGCUAGCGUUGUUCGGAAUUACUGGGCGUAAAGCGCACGUAGGCGGCUUGGUAAGUUAGAGGUGAAAGCCUGGAGCUCAACUCCAGAAUUGCCUUUAAGACUGCCGAGCUAGCAGGUGAGAGAGGUGAGUGGAAUUCCGAGUGUAGAGGUGAAAUUCGUAGAUAUUCGGAAGAACACCAGUGGCGAAGGCGGCUCACUGGCCGAUACUGACGCUGAGGAGCGAAAGCGUGGGGAGCGAACAGG